rnacentral:rRNA from 1 species
UUGGAGGGCAAGUCUGGUGCCAGCAGCCGCGGUAAUUCCAGCUCCAAUAGCGUAUAUUAAAGUUGUUGCAGUUAAAAAGCUCGUAGUUGAACUUCGGGAUUUACCCAUUGGUCAGGCUUAAUUGUCUGUACUGGUGAGAUAAAUCUCUACCUUCUGAGGAACUUUCAUGUCAUUAAUUUGGUGUGAUUGGAAAUCAGGACUGUUACUUUGAAAAAAUUAGAGUGUUUAAAGCAGGCUAACGUCUGAAUACAUUAGCAUGGAAUAAUGAAAUAGGACGGACUGAUUCUAUUUCGUUGGUUUCUAGGAUCACCGUAAUGAUUAAUAGGGAUAGUUGGGGGCAUUAGUAUUCAAUUGUCAGAGGUGAAAUUCUUGGAUUUAUUGAAGACUAACUACUGCGAAAGCAUUUGCCAAGGAUGUUUUCAUUAAUCAAGAACGAAAGUUAGGGGAUCGAAGACGAUCAGAUACCGUCGUAGUCUUAACCAUAAACUAUGCCGACUAGGGAUCGGACGAAGUUAAUUUUAUAAUGACGCGUUCGGCGCCUUACGGGAAAC